rnacentral:rRNA from 2 species
UAGAGAUCUGAAGGAAUACCGGUGGCGAAGGCGGCCCCCUGGACAGAUACUGACACUCAGAUGCGAAAGCGUGGGGAGCAAACAGGAUUAGAUACCCUGGUAGUCCACGCCGUAAACGAUGUCUACUUGGAGGUUGUGGCCUUGAGCCGUGGCUUUCGGAGCUAACGCGUUAAGUAGACCGCCUGGGGAGUACGGUCGCAAGAUUAAAACUCAAAUGAAUUGACGGGGGCCCGCACAAGCGGUGGAGCAUGUGGUUUAAUUCGAUGCAACGCGAAGAACCUUACCUACUCUUGACAUCCUUAGAAGUUUCUGGAGAUGGUUUUGUGCCUUCGGGAACUGUGAGACAGGUGCUGCAUGGCUGUCGUCAGCUCGUGUUGUGAAAUGUUGGGUUAAGUCCCGCAACGAGCGCAACCCUUAUCCUUGUUUGCCAGCACUUCGGGUGGGAACUCCAGGGAGACUGCCGGUGAUAAACCGGAGGAAGGUGGGGACGACGUCAAGUCAUCAUGGCCCUUACGAGUAGGGCUACACACGUGCUACAAUGGCGCAUACAGAGGGCGGCCAACUUGCGAAAGUGAGCGAAUCCCAAAAAGUGCGUCGUAGUCCGGAUUGGAGUCUGCAACUCGACUCCAUGAAGUCGGAAUCGCUAGUAAUCGUGGAUCAGAAUGCCACGGUGAAUACGUUCCCGGGCCUUGUACACACCGCCCGUCACACCAUGGGAGUGGGCUGCAAAAGAAGUGGGUAGUUUAACCUUCGGGGGGGACGCUCACCACUUUGUGGUUCAUGACUGGGGUGAAGUCGUAACAAGGUAGCGCUAGGGGAACCUGGCGCUGGAUCACCUCCUUA